rnacentral:snRNA from 1 species
GGGCGGCGGAUCAUGUAGCUACACCACUGUCUAGCUGGCAAUAUGGGUGUCACCUUCCUCUCACCUCUCCUUGUGCAUCCCUCCCAAAGUUUGGUGGUAGUGGAUGACCAUCUCAGAUAGGAGUGUCCUGUUCUUCAACCAAGGGCAUAUAGAAGCUGUGCUCCCUUGCUAGAUCCUCCAAACAAGCUCAAGGUGGGUGAGACAUCAAGGCAUUUGUGGCAAGGGGAUGUACAGGAACCCAGAGUUCCACAGGUAUCCAACCACAGCAUUGUAUCCAAUGCUUUUCAGGU